CAAGUCGAACGCGAAAGUUCCCUUCGGGGAGCGAGUAGAGUGGCGCACGGGUGAGUAACACGUAGGUAAUCUACCUUUGGAUUGGGAAUAACCACCGGAAACGGUGGCUAAUACCGAAUAAUGCAGCGGCACCUAAUGGUGACAGUUGUUAAAGCGGGGGAUCGCAAGACCUCGCGUCUGAAGAGGAGCCUGCGGCAGAUUAGCUAGUUGGUAAGGUAACGGCUUACCAAGGCGAUGAUCUGUAGCCGGCCUGAGAGGGCGGUCGGCCACACUGACACUGACAUACGGGUCAGACUCCUACGGGAGGCAGCAGUCGGGAAUUUUGGGCAAUGGGCGAAAGCCUGACCCAGCAACGCCGCGUGAAGGAUGAAAUCCUUCGGGAUGUAAACUUCGCAAGAACAGGAAGAAUAAGUAAGGGUUAAUAUCUCUUACGAUGACGGUACUGUUUGUAAGCUCCGGCUAACUCCGUGCCAGCAGCCGCGGUAAUACGGGGGGAGCAAGCGUUGUUCGGAUUUACUGGGCGUAAAGGGCGCGUAGGCGGCCUCCGCAAGUCGACUGUGAAAUCUCCGGGCUUAACCCGGAACGGUCAGCCGAAACUGCGGGGCUAGAGUGCAGAAGGGGCAACUGGAAUUCUCGGUGUAGCGGUGAAAUGCGUAGAUAUCGAGAGGAACACCUGCGGCGAAGGCGGGUUGCUGGGCUGACACUGACGCUGAAGCGCGAAAGCUAGGGGAGCGAACGGGAUUAGAUACCCCGGUAGUCCUAGCCUUAAACGAUGAAUGCUUGGUGUCUGGGGUUUUAUAGUCCCCGGGUGCCGUCGCUAACGCUUUAAGCAUUCCGCCUGGGGAGUACAGUCGCAAGACUGAAACUCAAAGGAAUUGACGGGGACCCGCACAAGCGGUGGA
rnacentral:rRNA from 1 species